rnacentral:lncRNA from 1 species
UUGGCUUAUCCAAUAAACCAAUUGAACUUGAUCCAAUCAAGUCCAAACUAAAUUUAAUUAAAUUAUAUUUAAUUAAACUUAAUCUCAGCCCAUUGACUUAAUCAAAUUAAGUCAAUUAGCAAUCAAAUUGCUAAUCGAUCCUCCUGCAACACUUGUACUAGGUUAAAUGUCAAUCGUAUUGAUCAUUUAACCCUAGAACGAUUCUUAAUCAUUGAUCAACCAUCCGAUUGGAUCAUGAACUCUAAUGUGUGUGACCUCAUAGGUCCGAACCUAAGCUGGUAGUACAGGAAUAAAUUUUUGUACCAAUCGAAGUGACCAUCUAGCAAUGGUACCCG